rnacentral:rRNA from 1 species
AUGCCAACCGAGAAAAAUAAUGACAAGAGGGCCUGUGUAACGCACAACUUGCAGCUCUGCCGUUAUAUAAGAAGGAGCCACCAUGGCCGCCUCAGUACAAACGCCUUGUGUCCUCUCACCUCUAGUGUCCUCCCUCGCCAAGAACCCGCCGCCGCCGUCGCCUCCCGGCCUCCGCUUCUAAGCCUCGAGGUCUCCGGCGUCAACCGAAGCAGCAGCGACAUGAAGCGCCUGCUCAGGCGGCUCUCCCGCGUUGCCGCGGCCGACGCCUGCGCAUCCGCCGCGUACCAGCCGCUUCGGCCCGACGCUGCGGCGAAGGGCUCCUCCGCAGUCUCCUCUCCCUCGUCCUCAUUCUUCGGCGCGCGGAGGCUCGGCAAGGGCGCGCGGGUGCCGGAGGGGUACGUGCCGGUGUGCGUCGGAGAGGAGGGCGGCCCCGAGGAGCGCUUCGCCGUGCGGGCCGAGCUCCUGGGCCAGCCGGCGUUCAAGGCCCUGCUCCGGCGCGCCGCGCAGGAGUACGGCUACGGCCACCCAGGCGCGCUCCGCAUCCCCUGCGCCGCCGCCGACUUCCGCCGCCUCCUCCUCGGCCUCUCCGACCCCGGCUCCCAGGCCACCGACGACGACGACUCCGCGCUCUACUACUAG